rnacentral:rRNA from 1 species
GAUGAACGCUGGCGGCAUGCUUUACACAUGCAAGUCGGACGGGAAGUGGUGUUUCCCGUGGCGGACGGGUGAGUAACGCGUAAGAACCUGCCCUUGGGAGGGGAACAACAGCUGGAAACGGCUGCUAAUACCCCGUAGGCUGAGGAGCGAAAGGAGGAAUCCGCCCAAGGAGGGGCUCGCGUCUGAUUAGCUAGUUGGUGAGGUAAUAGCUUACCAAGGCCGUGAUCAGUAGCUGGUCCGAGAGGAUGAUCAGCCACACUGGGACUGAGACAAGGCCCAGACUCCUACGGGAGGCAGCAGUGGGGAAUUUUCCGCAAUGGGCGAAAGCCUGACGGAGCAAUGCCGCGUGGAGGUAAAAGGCCUACGGGUCAUGAACUUCUUUUCCUGGAGAAGAAACAAUGACGGUAUCUGGGGAAUAAGCAGCGGCUAACUCUGUG